rnacentral:rRNA from 1 species
GGGCCCGCACAAGCGGUGGAGUAUGUGGUUUAAUUCGAUGCAACGCGAAGAACCUUACCAACACUUGACAUGUUCGUCGCGACUUUAAGAGAUUAAAGUUUUCGGUUCGGCCGGACGAAACACAGGUGCUGCAUGGCUGUCGUCAGCUCGUGUCGUGAGAUGUUGGGUUAAGUCCCGCAACGAGCGCAACCCUCACUUUUAGUUGCCAUCAUUUAGUUGGGCACUCUGAAAGAACUGCCAGUGAUAAGCUGGAGGAAGGUGGGGAUGACGUCAAGUCCUCAUGGCCCUUACGUGUUGGGCUACACACGUGCUACAAUGGUAUCUACAACAGGAAGCAAAAACGGCGCGUUAAG